UUUUUUUUUUGAGACGGAGUUUUGCUCUUGUUGGCCAGGCUGGAGUACAACGGUGCGAUCUUGGCUCACCGCAACCUCCGCCUCCUGGGUUCAAGUGAUUUUCUUGCCUCAGCCUCCCGAGUAGCUGGGAUUACAGGCAUGCACCACCACGCCAGGCUAAUUUUGUAUUUUUUAGUAGAGACAGGGUUUCUCCAUGUUGGUUAGGCUGGUCUCAAACUCCCAACCUCAGGUGAUCUGCCUGCCUUGGCCUUCCAAGGUUCUGGGAUUGCAGGCAUGAGCCACCACGCCUGGCCAAGUGUGAGGCAGGAGAAUGGCGUGAACCUAGGAGGCGGAGCUUGCAGUGAGCCGAGAUGGCGCCACUGCACUCCAGCAUGGGUGACAGAGCAAGACUGUCUCAAAAUGAGCCCAAGGUGGGUGGAUCACUUGAGGCCAGGAGCAGAGGUUGCAGUGAGCCGUGUUCUCGCCACUGAGCUCCAGCCUGGGUGACAGAGC
rnacentral:sRNA from 1 species